GACGAACCGUGCGACCGUUGUUCGGAAUCACUGGGCUUAAAGGGCGCGUAGGCGGGCUGACAAGUCUGGGGUGAAAUCCCGCGGCUCAACCGUGGAACUGCCUUAGAUACUGUCGGCCUCGAGGAAGGUAGGGGCAUGCGGAACUGUAGGUGGAGCGGUGAAAUGCGUUGAUAUCCACAGGAACUCCGGUGGCGAAGGCGGCACGCUGGACCCUCUCUGACGCUGAGGCGCGAAAGCCAGGGGAGCGAACGGG
rnacentral:rRNA from 1 species